rnacentral:rRNA from 1 species
AUUGAACGCUGGCGGCAGGCCUAACACAUGCAAGUCGAGCGGCAGCGGGAAAGUAGCUUGCUACUUUUGCCGGCGAGCGGCGGACGGGUGAGUAAUGCCUGGGAAAUUGCCCAGUCGAGGGGGAUAACAGUUGGAAACGACUGCUAAUACCGCAUACGCCCUACGGGGGAAAGCAGGGGACCUUCGGGCCUUGCGCGAUUGGAUAUGCCCAGGUGGGAUUAGCUAGUUGGUGAGGUAAUGGCUCACCAAGGCGACGAUCCCUAGCUGGUCUGAGAGGAUGAUCAGCCACACUGGAAGUGAGACACGGUCCAGACUCCUACGGGAGGCAGCAGUGGGGAAUAUUGCACAAUGGGGGAAACCCUGAUGCAGCCUUGCCGCGUGUGUGAAGAAGGCCUUCGGGUUGUAAAGCACUUUCAGCGAGGAGGAAAGGUCAGUAGCUAAUAUCUGCUGGCUGUGACGUUACUCGCAGAAGAAGCACCGGCUAACUCCGUGCCAGCAGCCGCCGUAACAC